ACGUUCCACCCCUGCCCGCA
rnacentral:misc_RNA from 1 species